rnacentral:rRNA from 1 species
CGUAGGUAACCUGCCUGGUAGCGGGGGGUAACUAUUGGAAACGAUAGCUAAUACCGCAUAACAGUAGAUGUUGCAUGACAUUUGCUUAAAAGGUGCAAUUGCAUCACUACCAGAUGGACCUGCGUUGUAUUAGCUAGUUGGUGGGGUAACGGCUCACCAAGGCGACGAUACAUAGCCGACCUGAGAGGGUGAUCGGCCACACUGGGACUGAGACACGGCCCAG